rnacentral:sRNA from 1 species
UUUUAGCCCUAAUAGCAGCGGCAUCCUUUUUCUGGCUUCUUUAGCCAGGAAAAGAUAGAGCGGAUAGCAGGAAUAGCU